rnacentral:rRNA from 1 species
GAUGAACGCUGGCGGCAUGCUUAAUACAUGCAAGUCGGACGGGAAGAGGUGUUUCCAGUGGCGGUCGGGUGAGUAACGCGCAAGAACCUGACCUUGGGAGGGGCACACCAGCUGGAAACGGCAGCUACUACCCAGCAGGCUGAGGAGCAAAAGGAGGAAUCCGCCCGAGGAGGGGCUAGCGAAUGAUUAGCUAGGUGGUGCGGCAAUAGCUAACCAGGGCGAUGAUCAGUAGCUGGUCCGAGAGGAUGAUCAGCCACACUGGGACUGAGACACGGCCCAGGCACCUACGGGAGGCAGCAGAAGGGAAUACGCCGCAAUGGGCGAUGGCCUGUCAGGGCAAUGCCGCCUUAAAAUAGAGUGCCCACGGAUCGUGAUAUGCUUUACCCAGAGAAGAAGCAAUGACGGUAUCUGGGGAGAAAGCAACGGCUAACUCUGUG